rnacentral:rRNA from 1 species
GACGAACGCUGGCGGCGUGCCUAAUACAUGCAAGUAGAACGCUGAAGAGAGGAGCUUGCUCUUCUUGGAUGAGUUGCGAACGGGUGAGUAACGCGUAGGUAACCUGCCCUGUAGCGGGGGAUAACUAUUGGAAACGAUAGCUAAUACCGCAUAACAAUGGAUGACACAUGUCAUUUAUUUGAAAGGGGCAAUUGCUCCACUACAAGAUGGACCUGCGUUGUAUUAGCUAGUAGGUGAGGUAACGGCUCACCUAGGCGACGAUACAUAGCCGACCUGAGAGGGUGAUCGGCCACACUGGGACUGAGACACGGCCCAGACUCCUACGGGAGGCAGCAGUAGGGAAUCUUCGGCAAUGGGGGCAACCCUGACCGAGCAACGCCGCGUGAGUGAAGAAGGUUUUCGGAUCGUAAAGCUCUGUUGUAAGUCAAGAACGAGUGUGAGAGUGGAAAGUUCACACUGUGACGGUAGCUUACCAGAAAGGGACGGCUAACUACGUGCCAGCAGCCGCGGUAAUACGUAGGUCCCGAGCGUUGUCCGGAUUUAUUGGGCGUAAAGCGAGCGCAGGCGGUUUGAUAAGUCUGAAGUUAAAGGCUGUGGCUCAACCAUAGUUCGCUUUGGAAACUGUCAAACUUGAGUGCAGAAGGGGAGAGUGGAAUUCCAUGUGUAGCGGUGAAAUGCGUAGAUAUAUGGAGGAACACCGGUGGCGAAAGCGGCUCUCUGGUCUGUAACUGACGCUGAGGCUCGAAAGCGUGGGGAGCGAACAGGAUUAGAUACCCUGGUAGUCCACGCCGUAAACGAUGAGUGCUAGGUGUUGGAUCCUUUCCGGGAUUCAGUGCCGCAGCUAACGCAUUAAGCACUCCGCCUGGGGAGUACGACCGCAAGGUUGAAACUCAAGGGAAUUGACGGGGGCCCGCACAAGCGGUGGAGCAUGUGGUUUAAUUCGAAGCAACGCGAAGAACCUUACCAGGUCUUGACAUCCCGAUGCUAUUUCUAGAGAUAGAAAGUUACUUCGGUACAUCGGUGACAGGUGGUGCAUGGUUGUCGUCAGCUCGUGUCGUGAGAUGUUGGGUUAAGUCCCGCAACGAGCGCAACCCCUAUUGUUAGUUGCCAUCAUUCAGUUGGGCACUCUAGCGAGACUGCCGGUAAUAAACCGGAGGAAGGUGGGGAUGACGUCAAAUCAUCAUGCCCCUUAUGACCUGGGCUACACACGUGCUACAAUGGUUGGUACAACGAGUUGCGAGUCGGUGAUGGCAAGCUAAUCUCUUAAAGCCAAUCUCAGUUCGGAUUGUAGGCUGCAACUCGCCUACAUGAAGUCGGAAUCGCUAGUAAUCGCGGAUCAGCACGCCGCGGUGAAUACGUUCCCGGGCCU